AUUCAUGUGAACGCGUGAUACCAUGAUCCAAGAGAAAACUGAAAGGGGAAAGGAAAAGGAGAAAGAAAAGAUGAAUUAAGAAGGAAGGACUUGCAAGAAUCAGAUGAUCUGUCUUCAGUUAAAAGAACAACAAAAUCAAGAUGAGUAACAACAGAAGGAGAUGGAACUUAAAGGGAAACAAGAACGUUUUCAUGAAGAUGCUACUCACCUAGUUCCGUCAGCGAUGACCUACGUUUGGAAAGUUGGAGAAACGCCAGAAGGUUCCUACCGAAGGAAGAUUCAAAGGGAUGACAUUGUUCGGAGUAAAUUCGAAGAAAAGGAAGAAAAACAGGCGCCAAAAUGGAAAGGGACCGCGUAUAAGUCGUCGUUAAAAUCAUCCGAUACGAUGAAAAAAGACAAGAAGAAUAGAAAUGUUGAAAAUCGAGCGAUCACUUGGGAUUUAAAAGGAAUAGAACUUUUGAAAAUCGAACGAUUAGUAUAAAUUUCUUACUAAAUUUACGGCUAUAAUGAUAAUUUAAAUCACACUAAAGCGGAUUCUGCAAUCAUUAUUCACGAUAAGUCAACGAUAUAUUAUAAUCACAGCCUUGUGAUUUUUUUCAUCAGAAUUCUUUCGCCAAAUAGUUCGAUUACGUUUAAAAAGUUAAAAAGUAUCUAUUCAUAUUAAAGAUAAUAUAAUUGUAAUCUACUUGUUCGAGUUAUUAACGUUAUCUAUCAUCUUUGUGCAUAUAAUUUUUUCUAAUAAGAAAAGUUUUCAGCGAUAUAGGAAACGAGAAAUUGCAGAGAGAAUUAAGAACUUCAUUUCAUUCUCUCAAAAAGGGAAAAUUAAAAAUUGAACCAAUUCGUAAAGAAAAGAAAAAUUCACAAUCAGGUGCGUUGUAAUCCAGGGAACAUAUCAUGAAAUUCAAGUUGAAAAACGAAGAGAAAAAAAGAGAGAGAGAGAGAGGAAGGAAUAGAACGAAUAAAGAGAAUAGUGAAUUUCCGUUGGUAACGAUGAAAGCCCUUGCACAAAGUUAGGACCAUAAUCGAGGGACGGUCUUAGUACUAUACAACUGGGUCACUCUAGUCGAAGUAAUUUAUAGAUACAUUUCUACGUAUCUACAUCGUAACGUCGGACCAAAACUUUUCAAUAGUCACUUUAUAUACUUGAUAAUAAUAAUUAUUACCAUAAAUAAAUAUCUCAAGCCAAUAAAGGGAGCGACUAUAUUUUAAUUACCGAGAAAAAUAUCAUUCUUCUAGUUUCAAUUCGAAAAGGAAAUAUUAUUGUAAUAAUUAUCGUAAAAUAUGAAAUAUGGUUUGUAAUAUGUCGAUCGACGAAAAUUUUAUGAGAAUUUUACUUCCUCACACCUAUCAUGAAAAAACUCAACUUCGAGAAACGAGCCUUAUCCUAAGUUUUCCUCGUAAAUUGAAUUAAUUGUAAGUAAAACGAAAAGAAGAGAUCAUAAUUAUAAGUAAUAAAAUUUUAUUACAAACCUAUGUAAAUGUAAAACUGGAUACAUUAUCUUACAGUAUCUUUUAUAAAAACUCGGACGAUUGAUAUUUUUUAUUAUAUAGGAAGUAGAAAAAUCAACGCGAUCUUAUUCAUUUUCAUUUUCGAAUUUCAUCCUUUUGCUUAGACGAAUACGAAAGAUAUACUAUGAUAAGAUAGGACAUUUGUCAUUAUUUUUAUUUCCACGCGAUUUGGCCCCACCCAAAACGACCUUCUGUACGAGGCGGCCAAGCAAAUCGAUAGAGACAUGGAAGGUGGAAGGCCAUGGAAGAUUCUAUGGGUUGAAUUGAACUGGUCCAGAGAAGGAUAGAAAAGAAAAGAGAAAUCGUCAGAAAAUGAUGAUUCUUUGAGAUCUCUUCAGAACUUAUGACUAUUGUUUCAAUCGUUGGCAUCAUUUAACAGAUAACUUGUUUGUUGUUUCUUCCUUUCUUUUAUCGUAUAUUAUUAUAUAGCAAGAAUAAACUGUGAUGUAUGAUUGGGUAAAAGUGCGUGCGUGCGGGCGUGCGUGCGUGCGUGCGUGCGUAUGUGUGUUCGUACGUGAUUACGUGCGUGCCGACGUAACUAAAACGAGUCUGUCUUCGGGUUAAGGACGAAGAAAAGGAUCACAUUGGUAAUAGUCCAUAAGAUAAAUUUCUUUUGAUUACUUGUAAGACGCAACAGUUAUAUUAAAUUAUCCCCGAUCGAGUGAAACAUAAACAAUUCGUAGAAUAGCCAAAAAAAGAAAGAAAAAAGGUUCUCUUUGCCUAAAUAGAAUACUAUUGAUAUUUAUUAUCUCGUUUUCGCAUGUUUCAUCUUGAUUUUUGAGAUAAGUUCCUUCGAUAUUAUCGAGCUAAUUUUAUGGUUAUACAAUUUUUUGUUUGGACAUAGUCGAAUGAAUAAAAUCAUACAAUGCUA